rfam:Ornithorhynchus anatinus chromosome X1, whole genome shotgun sequence.
CCCCUCUGAAGGUCACAACUGGAGAAUUUCCAGGACUCUACCAGUCUCGGCUACAGGAGGAAGAGUCAAGCAGAGGCAUAGCCAUUCCAUUCCUAGCCAGGGCAGUGGCUAGCAAGUGGAAGGCAAUCUGCUACAAGU